AGAGUUUGAUCCUGGCUCAGGAUGAACGCUGGCGGCGUGCUUAACACAUGCAAGUCGAACGAACCUUCGGGUUAGUGGCGGACGGGUGAGUAACGCGUGAGAAUCUGCCCUCAGGAGGGGGAUAACGGCUGGAAACGGCCGCUAAUACCCCAUAUGCCGAGAGGUGAAAUGAAUUUCGCCUGAGGAUGAGCUCGCGUCUGAUUAGCUUGUUGGUGGGGUAAUGGCCUACCAAGGCGACGAUCAGUAGCUGGUCUGAGAGGAUGAUCAGCCACACUGGGACUGAGACACGGCCCAGACUCCUACGGGAGGCAGCAGUGGAGAAUUUUCCGCAAUGGGCGAAAGCCUGACGGAGCAACGCCGCGUGAGGGAUGAAGGCCUCUGGGCUGUAAACCUCUUUUAUCAAGGAAGAAGAUCUGACGGUACUUGAUGAAUAAGCCACGGCUAAUUCCGUGCCAGCAGCCGCGGUAAUACGGGAGUGGCAAGCGUUAUCCGGAAUUAUUGGGCGUAAAGCGUCCGCAGGCGGCCUGACAAGUCUGCUGUUAAAGCGUGGAGCUUAACUCCAUUUCAGCAGUGGAAACUGUCAGGCUUGAGUGUGGUAGGGGCAGAGGGAAUUCCCGGUGUAGCGGUGAAAUGCGUAGAUAUCGGGAAGAACACCAGUGGCGAAGGCGCUCUGCUGGGCCAUAACUGACGCUCAUGGACGAAAGCCAGGGGAGCGAAAGGGAUUAGAUACCCCUGUAGUCCUGGCCGUAAACGAUGAACACUAGGUGUCGGGGGAAUCGACCCCUCCGGUGUCGUAGCCAACGCGUUAAGUGUUCCGCCUGGGGAGUACGCACGCAAGUGUGAAACUCAAAGGAAUUGACGGGGGCCCGCACAAGCGGUGGAGUAUGUGGUUUAAUUCGAUGCAACGCGAAGAACCUUACCAGGGUUUGACAUCCUGCGAAUUUCUGGGAAACCGGAAAGUGCCUUCGGGAACGCAGUGACAGGUGGUGCAUGGCUGUCGUCAGCUCGUGUCGUGAGAUGUUGGGUUAAGUCCCGCAACGAGCGCAACCCACGUCUUUAGUUGCCAGCAUUUAGUUGGGCACUCUAGAGAGACCGCCGGUGAUAAACCGGAGGAAGGUGUGGAUGACGUCAAGUCAUCAUGCCCCUUACAUCCUGGGCUACACACGUACUACAAUGCUACGGACAAAGGGCAGCAAACUCGCGAGAGCUAGCAAAUCCCAUAAACCGUGGCUCAGUUCAGAUCGUAGGCUGCAACUCGCCUACGUGAAGGAGGAAUCGCUAGUAAUCGCAGGUCAGCAUACUGCGGUGAAUACGUUCCCGGGCCUUGUACACACCGCCCGUCACACCAUGGAAGUUGGCCACGCCCGAAGCCGUUACUCCAACCCUUGUGGAGGAGGACGUCGAAGGUGGGGCUGAUGACUGGGGUGAAGUCGUAACAAGGUAACC
rnacentral:rRNA from 1 species